CCAGUGAUUCCCUUUUCACACUUUUAAGAGAGUUUUUCUGCAUACAACCCAUAUAAUUAGAUUGGCAGAAAAGGUCUGCAGAUUCACUUGUGCUUGCAUAACACGUUGCACAUGUGGAAAUGCUCAUUUGAGUGAUGCAACAUCCUCCCAAACAGAUUAUUACCCACAUCUUAAUACAGCAGUAGCAACAUCAAGGCAGAGCAGUCAUUAUUUUUUUUGCUGGAUUCAAUCCAGCACCUGUGCAACCUAAGAAGGGGGAAAGCCUUUAUCCUUGACCAGUCCUGUGACCAUUUGUGAGAGUUUUAAUCCAGGGCUUAAUUUAAGCCCAGAUCUACCAGAGCUUUGCUUUAAAAUCUCCCUGAACAGGUGAAGCAAUAAUAAAUGCCUUGCACAGAGUGAGGGGAAGAAGGCAUUCAGGUGAGAAGGCAUUCAAACAAGGGAAGAAUCACCCUUCACUCUUUGUUACACUGCCCACUUCAUGGCCAAUAUUUCAUGUAAAUUUCAAAACAAAAAUAAGACAUUUCAUUAAGCAAACAAACCUAAAUAUAGGUACUACUUGUGUCCCAUUAAAUUGGCUAGGGAACUGAAUCUGCCCCACAGCCAGAUUUAGAACUCAGCCACUCUCCCUGAGCUACUAUUAACAGCUGGGCAGGGACACUCGCCUGAAUCACCCACCAGGUGAUUCAACUUGAAUAAUCGGGAGCACAUUAUAAGUGCACUCCUCUUUCUUCCCUUGCAGCCCCAGCUUUAAUUUAAGCAAAGGCUGCAAAGGACUGUAUCGGGCUCCUGAAUUCUAGUGGGACUUGCACCACAGCAGAUACCAUUUCUUCAGCCUCUUUCACCCAGCACCUCCAGUGGACUUUAUCUUCACCCCAUGGCUCACAGAUUUGGUCAUAGUGACUGCAGAGGGAAGCUGUCUUGAGUGAAGACUUCUGAUGAGGCCCUUUGUAAAGCUAGAAAGGAACCUAACACUCACCCAGAGGGAACAUUUCAGGUCUGCUGGCAGCCAUGUCUCAGGAAGCUGUCUUCAGCAAGGCAGAAGCAGGUUCUGCUUGGAUAUUUGGAAAUAAAGCAAAUAGUACAAAGACACCUUAAGUCUCCAGUGCUCGCUCAUCCAAAGGAAACUAAACUCGGAAGCGCUGCGCCUGGAACUUCUGACUGCUUGGUACUGAAACCUGGAGGUACAUCCAUGAAGUUUGGAGCUCUGGUACAGAAACAGCUGUGCUUCUGUUCAGUCACUUAUAAACUACUGUGUUUGGAGGAAUCUUUGUAUGACUGGUGGAGAGGAAGUGAUUACAACUAAAGAAGAGUUCCCUAGUCUUUCUGAUGGGUUGUCCCUGUAAGAAAAAGAAAAAAAAACCACCCCAGCACACAACAGAGUGGAAUGAAAAAGCUGGCAGGGAAGGAUCAAAAUAGCAGGGACUGGCCAGUUAGAACCACAGAGCAUGUCUGAUUUGGGACACAAAGAACCUAGAAGCUCCAUCAUUAUGAAGAGUGACCAUUCAGUAUGCUGGAAGAAUUUCAUUUCCUAUCCAAAGGAAUGAUGCAGUUUCCCUUACCUGUCCCUGAGAAUUGUCCAAAGCUCUCCACCUAAACAGG